AAAAAAAAAAAAAGCAAGAUCCAACUCCCUUCCUCUUGGCUUUCGAUCUUGCAUCUCAUUCCAGCUCUGUGAGGUUGUGACGAGAAAUCAUCUCCUUGAUUUCAUUUGACAAACCUCCUUGAUUUCAUUCCUCUGCCGCCUAACAAGAAGAUCUAUAGACGGUCUUCUCACUUCAUUCCUUGAGGCAAAGACGAGAAAGUAAUGGUGUGUUUGAGUUUU
rnacentral:misc_RNA from 1 species